AGAGUUUGAUCCUGGCUCAGAAUGAACGUUGGCGGCGUGGAUUAGGCAUGCAAGUCGAGCGAGAUCAGUUCCCUCACGGUCUGCUCUCCCGGUAUCAGUUUGUUCGCGGCAAUAAAAAGCCGCGACCCAACGGGUCGCCGGAGAGAGCCGAGCGUGAGGGGACUGUGACAGCGGCGAAAGGGAGAGUAACGCGUAGUUACGUGCCCCGAGGUCCGGAAUAGCCAGCCGAAAGGCUGGGUAAUGCUGGAUAAUGUCCCCGGACCAAAGGUGUGAUUCCGCCUCGGGAGCGGACUGCGUUGUACUAGCUAGUUGGUAGGGUAAUGGCCUACCAAGGCGAUGAUGCAUACCGGGCGUGAGAGCGUGGCCCGGCUCACUGGGACUGAGACACUGCCCAGACACCUACGGGUGGCUGCAGUCGAGAAUCUUCGGCAAUGAGCGCAAGCUUGACCGAGCGACGCCGCGUGCGGGAUGAAGGCCUUCGGGUUGUAAACCGCUUUCAGUGGGGAGGAAAUCGCUAGGGGUCCUCCCCUAGUGUUGACCUAUCUUCAGAAGAAGGACGGGCUAAGUUCGUGCCAGCAGCCGCGGUAAUACGAACCGUCCAAACGUUAUUCGGAUUCAUUGGGCUUAAAGGGUACGUAGGCGGCGCCAUCAGUCGGGUGUGAAAGCCCUCGGCUCAACCGAGGAACUGCGCCCGAUACUGUGGUGCUUGAGGGAGACAGAGGUAAGCGGAACUGAUGGUGGAGCGGUGAAAUGCGUUGAUAUCAUCAGGAACACCGGUGGCGAAAGCGGCUUACUGGGUCUCUUCUGACGCUGAGGUACGAAAGCUAGGGGAGCGAACGGGAUUAGAUACCCCCGUAGUCC
rnacentral:rRNA from 1 species